GACGAACGCUGGCGGCGUGCUUAACACAUGCAAGUCGAACGGGAUGAUCUUAAAGCUUGCUUUUAGAGAAUCUAGUGGCAAACGGGUGAGUAACACGUAGACAACCUGCCGACAGGAUGGGGACAACAUUCCGAAAGGAAUGCUAAUACCGAAUGAAGUCAGAGGAGGGCAUCCUCCUCUGAUGAAAGAUGGCCUCUAUUUAUAAGCUAUCACCUGUUGAUGGGUCUGCGUCUGAUUAGCUAGUUGGUGAGGUAACGGCUCACCAAGGCGACGAUCAGUAGCCGGUCUGAGAGGAUGAACGGCCACAUUGGGACUGAGACACGGCCCAGACUCCUACGGGAGGCAGCAGUGGGGAAUCUUCCGCAAUGGGCGCAAGCCUGACGGAGCAACGCCGCGUGAGUGAAGAAGGUCUUCGGAUCGUAAAGCUCUGUUGACGGGGACGAACGUGCGGAGUGCGAAUAGC
rnacentral:rRNA from 1 species